UUUUUUUGUUUGUUUUGUUUUGUCUUUUUGCCAUUUCUUGGCCCAUUCUCGCGGCAUAUGGAGGUUCCCAGGCUAGGGGUCUAAUCGGAGCCGUAGCCACCAGCCUAUACCAGAGCCACAGCAAUGCGGGAUCCGAGCCGCGUCUGCAAACUACACCACAGGUCACGGCCACGCCGGAUCCUUAACCCACUGAGCAAGGCCAGGGAUCGAACCCACCACCUCAUGGUUCCUAGUCGGAUUCGUUAACCACUGUGCCACGACAGGAACCUGUAUACACUGUUUUUAAAACAUCCUUUUCCAUUAUGGUUUAUCAUAGGACAUUGAAUAUCGUUCUCUGUGCUAUUCAGUAGUCUAGAGUCAAGUUUUAAACUCACACCCAUCUGACUCCAAAGUUUAACCCUCAAUCCUUACAAAGAACUGCAUGUUACAUGCAAACAUAAAUACAACAUGAACAAAUCAGAUUUUUUAAAUGAUCUCAGUAAGAUGGUAAAAUAAUGGAUAAAAUUGAGGGUUCAUUUUUAAUUUUUUCAUAAAGUUGAUUGCAUUCAAGGGUGAGGAUUGUUUCUUACUCUAAUAAAGAAUAUCCCUUCUAUACGAACAAUCAACAUCUUACCAAAUCAUAAAGUAUUUUAGCAGUUAUUUGAGAACAAGGAUGUCUGCUGUAACCAUUUUUAAAAGUUAGUCCUGGAAAUUUGAGUCCUGGAAAUUCAUCCACAUUUAACAACAAUAUUGAGUAUUUAUUUAGUAUGUUCUCUGUGGCAGACACAUGUAUUAGCUGACUCAACUCUCACAAUCACCUUAGUAGGUAGGUACUAUCAUUAUUUCCAUUUUACAGAGGACGAAAUUCAGACACAGAGAACUUAAGUAAUUUGGCCAAGAUAAUGAAAAGAGUUAAUGAGGUCUUGUGCCCAGAGGGGCGCUGGAGCCUCAGCUAAUAACUGAUGCAUCAAAGAAAUGGGGCAAAAAAAAAAAAAAAAUCAAAUUUCUCCUUAUUUGCAAAAGAUGUGAUUUUAUACUGAUAAAUCCCCAAAGAAUCAAUUGAAGGACUAGUGAAAUUAAUGACACUGUUCAGGAAAGUCCUGAGGACCUGAUAAAUAUUCUAAAAUUACCAGCUAUCUUUCUAUUAUUUUAGCAAUGGCCAGUUAGAAAACCGAAUUGGGGGCGGGGAGAGGCAGGAGCCUUAGCAACCUUCACCACAGAUCGAUCUGAGAAUAAUUUGAAUUAUAGGAAAGUUAUUUUGCAGAAAAUUGUAGAAAUUUAUUGAGAAAUCUAAAAGACUUAAAACUAAUAAAGGCAUACGUUGAUUCAGACUGAGAAGCUAGAAGACUAAGAAUAAAUCACUUUGAAAUUGAAAUCAAGUGAAAUUGAAAUAAAUCAAUUUGAAAUUGUCCAAAGUUAGAGUGAGAACUUUUUUAUCUCAAAAUAUGCAAAAAUUCAUCUGAGAAAAAGUAGUACCAAUCCAGAAGCACUGAAACAUGUUUGAGAAGAAAUUGAGACAGGUGGAUUCCAGACACACCACUUUUUAAAAGUAGUGUAGGCUUGUAAAAUAUGCCUCUGUACAGUGCGUAUAUUAUAAAAGUAAUUCACAAAGCAGGGAGAGGAAAGAGAGGGGUUAUUUUAAAAAUGUUGCACCCAGAAUAAUGAAUUAGCUACCUUUAAGAAUCCAGAAAGUAUCUUAGAUUCAGAUGUGAUAUAACAAAAUAAAGUAUAAAGGGAUUAAGGAAGUAAAUAUUUUUAAGUUGAGAUAUUAAAAUUGAAAGGAAAUAGGAUCAGAUAUUCAUAUAUUUAAUAAUAUUUAUGAAAUCCCUAAAUGAGAGAAAACUUUCUCAGUUUAUGUGCAAUGGAAGAAAUCAUAAAGUGACACAAGCAAAGUAGAUCUGGUUCUAAAAUAUUAAAAUUUUAUACUCAAUAUUUUGUAAUAAUCUAAAGGGGAAAGAAUCAGGGAAAGAAUAUCUAUAUAACUGAAGCCCUAUCCUAUAUACCUGAAACUAACACAAUAUUGAAAAUCAACAAGGAUACUUCAAUUAAAAAAAUUAACAUGUUAAAAAAGGAUCUAAAGGCAAACAGACAAAAAACUAGAAAAAAUACGUGGAACACAUAAUUUUUAAAGAUUUUACUUAUUUUUUUUUUUGCAAAAAUUCUUAUGAAAAGCCCUAGCACUCCCCAAAUGAUAAGCUAUAAAAGGCGUGGAACAGACAAUUCACAAACAAUCGAGAAUGAGACCAAAGCUGUAAAUGCAAGGUAGCUCUACCCACUGUGGGUUAUAAAAAUGAAAAGAAUGGAAAACAAUCUAAUUGAAAAACAAAAACUUAAUAAAUUAGGAUGAAGGUAUAGAAUGGGGUGUUUUAUACAGAUAUUUUAAAUUAUGUUUAGGAAAUAUUAAUCUGGGGAAGGCUCAGGUCUGUGAAAAAGUACAAGGCAGUUACAUUUAGCUUGUACUUUAUUGUGUAUAUAUAUAUAUGAUAUACAAUAUGAUCGCAACCCUGUAAAAAGUAAACAUAAAUUAAUGAAUAUUUCUAAGAAAGAAAACUCUGCAUUAUUAGAUUUUCUUGUCUAUUAGUUGAACACUAACUGCCACCCUCAAUUCACCUGAUUUGGUUUCUCCAAAUCCAGAGUAAUUAAUAAUAAUUGUGUAUAUCAAAUAUAGAUUUUUCUCAUGAAUAUAAAUUAUGAAAAUUAAAUUGGGGAUUCUAUUUAAAUUACUUUAUUCAAAAAUGAGAAAUGGAAGAAAAUAUACCUAAAUGUUCACAAAACUAGGUAGUGAAAUGUGGAUGAUUUUUCCAAUGAGGAAAAAAAAACAUAUUUUAAGAGAAUGGAAACAAGCCCAGAAAUUCUGAGUAGCUUAAAUUAGCUUGAGACUAAAUUUAUCUACAUAAAUGUUUUAUUUAACCUCUAAAUUGUAUCUCAUAUUUUCUGGCAUUGAAAGCACAGAAGAUAAAAUGUUGGCAGCUGAUCUAAACUUAGUAAGGAGUAUGAUAAUUUGCCAAGGCAAAGAAAAGAUGCUCACUCUGUAUCUUAAGUUAUAGAAUAGGAAGGCAAAGGCUAUUCAAAACCCUUUUGGUAAGUUCUGUACAAAGAAAUAAUGCACUUCAAUAGAAACAACCUAAAUGUCCAUCAACAGAUGAAUGGAUUAGGAUGUGGUACAUAUACACAAUGGAAUACUACUCAGCCAUAAAGAAGAACACAAUGAUGCCAUUUGUAGCAACAUGGAUGGAGCUAGAGACUCUCAUAGUAAGUGAAGUAAGUUAGAAAGAGAAAGACAAAUACCAUAUGAUAUCACUUAUAUCUGGAAUCUAAUAUAUGGCACAAACGAACCUUUCCACAGAAAAGAAACAAACUCAUGGGCAUGGAGAACAGACUUGUGGUUGCCAAGGGGGAGGGAGAGGGAAUGGGAUAGACUGGGAGUUUGGGGUUAGUAGACGCAGACUAUUGUCCUUGGAGUGGAUAACAAUGAGCUCCUGCUGUAUAGCACAGGGAACUGUAUCUAAUCACUUGUAAUGGAAUAUGAUAGAGGAUAAUGUGAAAAAAGAAUAUAUAUAUGUAUGUAUAUAUGGGUCUCUUUGCUGUAUAGCAGAAAUUGACAGAACAUUGUAAAUCAACUAUAAUAAUUUUUUUAAAAAAAGAAAAAAUUAGAAAUAAUACACGGAGUUCCUGUUGUGGUGCAGUGGAAAAAUGAAUCCGACUAGUAUCCAUGAGGAUGUGGGUUUGAUCCCUGGCCUCAUGGUUAAUGGAUCCG
rnacentral:lncRNA from 1 species